rnacentral:rRNA from 1 species
CGGUUAUACCAAGUGAUUAAGUUAUAUUUUUAGGUAAAAAGAUAGUUAGGUUUAUAAAGUAAUUUUAGUUUAUUGAACAUCUAUAAAAAAGUAAAAUUUGUAUAUAGAUAGCUAAUUUAAUAAUGACUAAAUCAUACUGAAGCUAUGAUAGUCUUGAGGGAAACUGGGAUUAGAUACCCCAUUAUUCUUGAUUGUAAAUAUAAUUAAAUUUACCAGAGUACUAUGAAUAGUUAAAAAUUUAAAACUCAAAGGGCUUGGCGGUGUUUUAGACCUAUCAGGGGAACCUGUCUCGUAAUCGACAAUCCGCGCAAUAUCUAACCUUAUUUUGUAGUCAGUUUGUAUACCGUCGUCGUCAGGUAACUUUUAAAAAUAUAGAAGUUAGCAGUUAAAAUUAUUUUGAAUUAAAACGUCAGAUCAAGGUGCAGCCUAUAAUAAGGAGAGGAUGGGUUACAAUUAUGAAAUUCAUAAUUACGGAAAUUUAAAUGGAACUUAUUUUGAAGGAGGACUUGAAAGUAAACUAAAAUACAUAAAUAGUUUGAAUAAGGCUCUG